rnacentral:rRNA from 1 species
UACGUAGGGUGCGAGCGUUGUCCGGAAUUAUUGGGCGUAAAGGGCUCGUAGGCGGCCUGUUGCGUCUGCCGUGAAAGCCCGGGGCUUAACUCCGGGUCUGCGGUGGAUACGGGCAGGCUAGAGUUCGGUAGGGGAGACUGGAAUUCCUGGUGUAGCGGUGAAAUGCGCAGAUAUCAGGAGGAACACCGGUGGCGAAGGCGGGUCUCUGGGCCGACACUGACGCUGAGGAGCGAAAGCGUGGGGAGCGAACAGGAUUAGAUACCCCGGUAGUCCCUGAG